rnacentral:rRNA from 1 species
GACGAACGCUGGCGGCGUGCUUAACACAUGCAAGUCGAACGGAAAGGCCUUUUCGGAGGUACUCGAGUGGCGAACGGGUGAGUAACACGUGGGUGAUCUGCCCUGCACUCUGGGAUAAGCCUGGGAAACUGGGUCUAAUACCGGAUAGGACCGCACUUUAGUGUGUGUGGUGGAAAGUUUUUUCGGUGUAGGAUGAGCCCGCGGCCUAUCAGCUUGUUGGUGGGGUAAUGGCCUACCAAGGCGGCGACGGGUAGCCGGACGGAGAGGUUGGUCGGCCACAUUGGGACUGAGAUACGGCCCAGACUCCUACGGGAGGCAGCAGUGGGGAAUAUUGCACAAUGGGCGCAAGCCUGAUGCAGCGACGCCGCGGGGGGGAUGACGGCCUUCGGGUUGUAAACUCCUUUCGCCAGGGACGAAGCGUUUUGUGACGGUACCUGGAGAAGAAGCACCGGCUAACUACGUG